GACGAACGCUGGCGGCGUGCUUAACACAUGCAAGUCGAACGGUAAGGCCCUUCGGGGUACACGAGUGGCGAACGGGUGAGUAACACGUGGGUGAUCUGCCCUGCACUUCGGGAUAAGCCUGGGAAACUGGGUCUAAUACCGGCUGGGACCCCUGCCUGCAUGGGUUGUGGGGGAAAGCUUUUGCGGUGUGGCAUGGGCCCGCGGCCUCUCAGCUUGUUGGUGGGGUGAUGGCCUACCAAGGCGACGACGGGUAGCCGGCCUCGAGAGGGUGACCGGCCACACUGGGACUGAGAUACGGCCCAGACUCCUACGGGAGGCAGCAGUGGGGAAUAUUGCACAAUGGGCGCAAGCCUGAUGCAGCGACGCCGCGUGAGGGAUGACGGCCUUCGGGUUGUAAACCUCUUUCAGCACCGACGAAGCGCAAGUGACGGUAGGUGCAGAAGAAGGACCGGCCAACUACGUGCCAGCCGCCGCCGUAA
rnacentral:rRNA from 1 species